UGGCAAUUAAAACGAUACAUUUAUGCAGCCGAAAUUAAAAAGCCAUCAUAAAGUGGUUUUACAUUUUUCAAAUGAAAGUUCUCUUUCCCUAUGUUCAAUGCACGAGAAGCUCAACCAAGACCAUGAGUAAAAGUUAGAAAACCCUUUCACUAUUUAAUUUCACCCUAAACAAUGGAUCUGAAAGCAAAACACAUAUCUAAAUUCAUCCGCCCCAAAUAUCGCACGGUUGAAUAUUUAAUUUAGGGUUUGAAGCUUUAUGAAGUCAUAAUCCAUGGCUAAUCAUCAUCGUUCUCCAGGUUCUUCAUAAAAAAUCGUUCUUCCACCUCAAGAACUCCUCGAUGAUCUUUGCAGUUUCAAGUUUUGUUGAAAUGGUUUGGCAUGAAUUUAUAAAAGGUCAGAUGAACGACGAUUUCGACUUCGCGCCCGCCUAAUCUUGCUGCUACUGUAGUAUAUGGUGAAAAUCAUGCUGGUGUUGUUGUUGGUAGAAAUGUCGUGCUUAAAGAGCAAGGAGGAGUAUGAAGCAUCCCUUUGUUUGUGUGGAAGCCAAGUAUGUUGUGGGAGCUACUUGAAUUUGAUUGGUGAAGUAGCAUUUCAAAAGGUUUGUGCUAUUUCAACUCUUGAUAAGAAAAUUGAAGGAGAUAUGUGAUAUUUUAUCAUGUUUUUUUCUAUUUGUACAGAGAUAUAUUUGAUACUCUGCAUUUGAA